rnacentral:rRNA from 1 species
AUACGUAGGUGGCAAGCGUUAUCCGGAUUUACUGGGUGUAAAGGGCGCGUAGGCGGGGAUGCAAGUCAGAUGUGAAAUCUAUGGGCUUAACCCAUAAACUGCAUUUGAAACUGUAUCUCUUGAGUGUCGGAGAGGUAGAUGGAAUUCCUUGUGUAGCGGUGAAAUGCGUAGAUAUGAGGAAGAACACCAGUGGCGAAGGCGAUCUACUGGACGAUAACUGACGCUGAGGCGCGAAAGCGUGGGGAGCAAACAGGAUUAGAUACCCUGGUAGUCCACGCUGUAAACGAUGAAUACUAGGUGUGGGGGGACUGACCCCUUCCGUGCCGCAGUUAACACAAUAAGUAUUCCGCCUGGGGAGUACGGCCGCAAGGUUGAAACUCAAAUGAAUUGGCGGGG